GGUAUUCUCUAUCUCAACGCCCGUAGCUUUGAAAAUAAAAAAAAAACAGUGAAAAGAGAAAAGGGAGAAGAAAAGAGUGAAAUUUGAGUUGAGUUUCUAUGUUCAAUCUGGAAGGAAGGAAAAUUAAGGUUAUGAACUCGUCAAUUAGUAGGAUCUUUUUAGAAAAUUGAAGGAUAGUUAAAAGGGGUUUCCUUGCAUUCUUGGUCGACGAUUAACGAACUUAGGGUUUCUUUAGGAGUGGAUUUCAUCUCUGCCUGCAGCUGAAAAACGAUAGGAUUAACUAAAGAUGGGAUUUGUGAAGUAUAUGAUUGUGGAACGCCGAGAUUGCGGGUUUCUUAUAAGGGUUCUUUUAAAAUAUCUUGUUGCUGAUUCAUGUUUAGGGUGGAACUUUGUUUAAGUUUGGAAUUAGAGAUAUUGUACUCUUACAAAUCACCGUUAUAUUUAGGUCUCAUAAAGAAAUUUGUUGAAUUGAAACAAUCAAUUUCAUCUCAGAGUUAUUCUAUAUUGUCAGGUGACAUUUUUGGGCAUGAUUAUAGGCAAUUCUGGUACUGAUCUUGGUUAGGAUGACUUUUUGAGAAUCAUAGCCCUGAGAUCAGCAUUUUCCAGCGUGACGUUCUAUGUUGUUGGGAGAUUUAUACUUACUGAGAUAUGCUAGCUUGUAUAAAAACCGUUCUACAAUCUUGGCAGCGCUGUUUUUCUACGAAAUUGACAUGAAUACAUCUUGAAUCAUCUUUAAGUUCCAACUGAUAACUUUUAUAGUUUUCGUUAAUGUUUCCAGUUUGGUAAUGCGUGUUUUGGUGUGAUUGGUAUAGGCUGUACUUAUUGAUUAUUUCAGUUGGUAGUACUUGUAUAGGUCAGUUUUGUUAAAGUCAUUAUGUUUCCUAACUUAAUUUUUGUACACAUAAGGUGUGAUUCAGAUACGCUAAGCAGGCUUCAAAGAUUAAGGUGCUAGUUGCGGUUUGAGGUGGGAACUUACAGUACUCUUUUGUAAUCAUUGAUGCUCUUUACAAAACUGUGUUUAUGUGAUUAAUCAAAAACUCAUGCAUUGUUGAACUUUUCAUUCCUUAAAAUUCUGUUGAUUCUUUAGCCUUUCCAUUACUCGGAAAGGACCUGAGUUGUUUGCUUGCCUUUGUGAAUGAUUUGGGAAAUAAGAAUUUCCAUAUAUCGUAUACGGAUACGCUUCUUCCAUUAUAACUACAUGAAUUCAGCUUUUACGCUUAUGAGGUGUGGAAUUUGGCACCAAUAUAAACUAAUAGGCGUGUAAGGAAUUGGUCGACACCAGUAUAUACAUUGUUUGAAGAAGAAGCUUGUCCAUGUACAUGAUUGUUUAAUUAUGUGAAUCAAAGGUGUUAUUAACCUUUGGAAAAUUUGCAUUCUUUUCUAAAGCUCAACUUUGAUGAUUAUUUUUGAGUAGUGUAAGUAUCCAUUGGGCUUGUUAGCUCACUCUUUCCACCUCCUUUUAGUGACAGGUAACAUUGAUGUAAGUGGUGUUGAUUCGGCCGAGGGAGAAAUUGACUUUUGGGUCGUUUAAGUGGUCUUAACUUAUGUCCUUGAUAGAUAGUUGCUGACCUCAGUAGUACUGUGCAGUCUAUGUAACUUUCUGAAGGUGUCUUUUCUUUGAGUUUUUUUAUUGUAAGUAAAACUCUAACUCCUGAAUGUGUAUUUGUAUAUUACCAAACAACACACUUGUAUAUUAGAUAGUAUGUAUAAUAUAAAAAGCCUAGUUUAUGUUCUUGGUU